rnacentral:ncRNA from 2 species
CGACAAACAAAUAACCAAUUUCGUAUAAUCUCAAGAAUUGGCUUGAGAGUCUCUACAAGAUCACCGUAAUGAUCUGGCUACGAAAAGACAGGGAUAAUUU